rnacentral:rRNA from 1 species
CCUACGGGAGGCAGCAGUGGGGAAUAUUGCACAAUGGGGGGAACCCUGAUGCAGCGACGCCGCGUGAGUGAAGCAGUAUUUCGGUACGUAAAGCUCUAUCAGCAGGGAAGAAAAAAGGACGGUACCUGAGUAAGAAGCCCCGGCUAACUACGUGCCAGCAGCCGCGGUAAUACGUAGGGGGCGAGCGUUAUCCGGAUUUACUGGGUGUAAAGGGAGCGUAGACGGUUCUGCAAGUCUGAAGUGAAAGCCCGUGGCUUAACCGCGGAACGGCUUUGGAAACUGUGGAACUGGAGUGCUGGAGAGGCAAGCGGAAUUCCUAGUGUAGCGGUGAAAUGCGUAGAUAUUAGGAGGAACACCAGUGGCGAAGGCGGCUUGCUGGACAGUAACUGACGUUGAGGCUCGAAAGCGUGGGGAGCAAACAGGAUUAGAUACCCGGGUAGUC